CACAGGGAGGAAGAGUCCCCAGUCCCAAGGGAGAGGCCGGGGUGGGCUGGAGUGGGCUGGGGCUCUGUGUCCCAGGCCCCAGCCUCCACAGCUUCAGCAGGUGGCAGGACCCUGCACUGGGCAGGGGCCUUCCCUCGUCCACGCAGGGGCCACUGCGCCGAGCCAGGCUUCUGAUCCUCGGGGUCCAGCUGAAUGACCAGGGUUGGAAAGCUGGGCAGGGGAUGGGACUGGCUGGAGCGGUGCUGGUUUUGAAGAUGGCCAGCGAGGGUCUAUCUGAGAAGGUGACAUUGGAGCAGAGAUCUAAUAAGAGGUUGAAAUAAGAAGUACACCCUCCUCAUUGGAUGUUGGGAGAACGUGCGGUACCUGUGCGUAAAGCUGAGCGCGGCCGUGGAGGAGCUCGCCUUCCCCUUGCACCUCCCCUCCCACCCCUGGAGAAAAAUUAACCAGAUAGUUAAAUGCAACCUUGGUGUUGGGCCUCACAAGUCAGCUGGGAUGAGGGGCUGCCACCAUCUGAUGACUCCAAGGACUUCCUGGCUGGGGUAACCCUGCCUUUCAGUCCACAAACACAUGAUUCAUCACGAAGGAAGAUGCAGGGCAGUAGGUGUUGGGGGCUGGGCAGGGCCCCUGCAGCCUUUGCAGAUGACCAGCUGGUCUCAGAUGGCAGGAGGUCGUGGGGUUGGGCCUUGGGAAGGAGCUUGCCCUGGGACCUGUCUGUCUCCCAGCCUCUUUUUCUCUCUCUUCCUUUGUUCUUUUAAACUCUGACCCUAUUACACACGUGAAUUCUUUUUAUCAAAAUCUUGAACAUGUAGAAUUUCUUUUCUGUGGUCACAGUUGCAGUUUUACAUGUGUCCGGGUGAUUCUCUGUGUUCCCCACCAAUCGUGAGUUCUAGAGUGGAUGAAGACUAGCAUUUUUAUUAAUUCCUGUUUCCCCCCAACAAGGACUAACAAAUGUAUUUUCCCACACAAAUCUUAAGAACCUGCAAGUUUGUCUCUACCGCUUAUAUUUUGGGGGGGGGCUUGUGGGGACCCUUGUCAUAGAGAUUUGCUGUCAAUCUUGUUCAUGGGACUUUGGUUUUGCUACCUUAUUGCUUUGCACGUUCUUACAUGGGGACUUGGAAAGAUACAAAACCUGUUUUAUACCACAGCCCCUGCCGUGCUCCCCAGAACCUCAUGAAAAACGUCAGCACUCAGACGUCCAGUGAUGGUUCUCCUUGGAGCCCAGAGAUGACCUUGGUGCCAGUUUGGGGCUCCUUGAUGUAUUUCAUGUGUAUCUAGCAAACUCAGGACCCAGCCCUGUUCUUACACAAAGAACAGUUGGCCAUACACGCUGCUUUGCUUCUUGCUUUUUGUAUUGCGUUAACAGAGUGUGUGACUAUUUUCCAGAUUAAUGUACCUAGUACUUUCCCAUUUAAAAAUAAAAAUGGCUGUUCGUAAA